rnacentral:rRNA from 1 species
CCUACGGGUGGCAGCAGUGAGGAAUAUUGGUCAAUGGCCGAGAGGCUGAACCAGCCAAGUCGCGUGAGGGUAGAUUGUCCUAUGGAUUGUAAACCUCUUUUGUCAGGGAGCAAAGUCACCCACGUUUGGGUGUUGGAGAGUACCUGAAGAAAAAGCAUCGGCUAACUCCGUGCCAGCAGCCGCGGUAAUACGGGGGAUGCGAGCGUUUUCCGGAUUUAUUGGGUUUAAAGGGUGCGUAGGCGGGUUAUCGAGUCAGCGGUAAAAUCGUGGAGCUAAAGUCCGUCCAGCCGUUGAAACUGAUGAUCGUGAGGGGGCGAGAAGUAUGAGGAAUGCGUGGUGUAGCGGUGAAAUGCAUAGAUAUCACGCAGAACUCCGAGUGCGAAGGCAGCAUACCGGCGCCCGACUGACGCUGAAGCACGAAAGCGUGGGUAUCGAACAGGAUUAGAUACCCGGGUAGUC